AGGGGUCGGGUCUGAGUGCAGCCUCGGUGGGGCGUUCCCGUCGCACAUGACUGGAACGCCCACGUAGAUCAUUGGUUUACGUAGAACGGGAACGCCCAGUAUGUUCUCAAGUCUUUUCUGCCUCCUCCUUCCUGUCUCUAACUGCAAACCAUCACUGCUGGUGACUCUGUGGCGACUCAGCAAUGUCCUGCUGUCCAUCUACUCUACUCUCCUCUAUCAAAGCAGCAGACAGUGAGUCUGUCCUAUUCCUUGUAUCCAUUCUAUCUUAAUUAUGGCUCCUCUGGUUUUCCUGUCCCAUCUACAACUCUGUCUUUAAUUUUGGAUAUUCUACCUUUCUAUCCCUCUAAUUCUAUCGCACUCUGAUCAGGUUUUUAGACGUUUUUGGAAGAAAACUUUGCUGAGUGUAAACAAGUGUAAAAGUAAUACCACUGCCUACAUUGUAUUAAUUCUCCCUGAUUCACAUAUAAUUGUACCUAAUCUAUAACCAUUCACAUAGUUUGAAUCAAUAAGUGUAUAUAAGUGCUUUGUUGUUGUUUAAACCUUUAUAUACUGUAAUAAAUCAACCAUCAGCUGUAAGGAGAAACUUUUAAAAAAAAACAGUUAAAAAAAAACUGAAUUCAGGUUGCUGUCACUGACAUUCAAGUCAUAUGUAUUACAAACACUAAAAUAUACAAAUACCAUCGUGUUCAGUUAAGUACAACAUUUGAGCAUCAGUAAAGAUCUGAUAGUGCUUUAAAAUACUAAACAAACAGCCUUCCUGUCCGUCCCAUAUCUGAGAUUGGACUGUUGGUUUUCUAUUUGCUGAAAAUAUUGAAACAGUUGUUGACUCUUGUGCAUUUAAAUCUAUAAGUAGGAGAAGCAUUGAAAUAGUAUAUACAUAUAUAUAUAAUAUUCAUCCUUUCUGGUGUACCUUAAACUUUUGUUGUACCAUAGAUAUCUAUAAUAUCUUCACAGGCUUGACAAAAAUAUAUUGAAUAGUUUUGAAACAUGUAAAUGUGAACUCUUUUCUGUGUUAAUUUACCAUUCCUAAGUGCUUUUGAUUACUAAAAGCAUCUAUCCUGCUAUGUUAACACUACUCUUUUAUCAUUAAUUUUGUGUUUAAUAUAUUGGUUGUGUACAAUAAAACAUUACAUUUUUGGUUUUGGAGCACAACAACAAUGCCAAGGAAGGAGGUCAACGUGAUUCAUCAUGUGUACCACAGGUAUCAUAUACUGACAUUGUAAAGAGAGGACUUCACAUUGAUGAUGAUCUUUAAGAUUACAAUAAUUAUCAAGUUUUGAAAAUGAAAAAAAUAUUAAUUAUAUAAUUUAUUCUUUCUUCUUAUCUUUUGCACAGAAAUACAUCUGCAGAAAAGUUGUUUCAGUGGAAAAUGGCCACUAGAUGGCCAAAAAAAAAGUCAUUUUUUAAGAUUAGAGAAGUAGAAAAGGUGGGCGUUCUUGUACCACAAGAGCCAAUCAAAGCAGUGGGCGUUCCCGUGCGCUACAAGAACGCCCUGCCGUGGCUGCAGGAAACUAAACUGUAGGAUUUAUGAUUAAAGUCUGGUGACUUAGCAGAAAACACUGCUCUUCAAUCACUGCUAAUUAAAGUUUUCUAGCUUCCGGGUUUACUUCCAGGGUAUGCAUGGCUUAUUUCUCACAUAAAUGUUUUCAGAAACACAUUGCGGUGAACUGAAGUCAGGAUUUACAAGGUUAGAGUUACAUCUGCUGCAUGUUCAGGAUCCAUUUGCCUCCAUCAGAACAUCGAGCAUUUCUGUUUCCCUUGGCAGUCGAUGCUUUACAGACCUAAAACAUCGAUAGUAAACGCUGCUGAUCACAGUACUGUGCAGAUUUACUGACAAGACAUUAAAACAUAAUGGCAUCCAUUUCCCUGCCCCCCAAGCCAGACCUCUUAUCUUUUUCACCUCUCUCAUUCCCAUAUCCCAGCAGGAUGCGAGUAUGAGAGAGGGGGGACCAGCAUCUGAUAAGAUGCAUUAGUCAGACUGACAGGACUUUCCCUGGAAGACCCCCAUUCUAUUAGAGCAUUCCUUAAUUCCAGACCUCAGCCAUAACUGUUUGGUGUCAUAUAUUAAUACAUAUUACAAUGGUAUUGAGAAAAACUACUUUUUACACCUGGUUAGAUAUACAACAUAUGCUCACAUUUAAUCAAAGGAACAUCUACUAAUAGAAACGUAUCCCUGGGGUUAAUCCUGAGUAUAUCUCAGUCAAGUUUAAGGAUUCAGUUUGUAAUUUGCGUGGUAAAUAUCCUGUAUAAGAAUGCUUUAUUUUGAGACUCUUCUUGAUGCAUCAGUAAACAUAUACAUUUCCCCCUCUAUUUUUCUCACUCUUAUUAUUGGCUAGUCUUAGAGCUGUCCCCAAACUGACCUAAGGCGUGCUAUGACUUUAAGAUACAUUACCAGGUCUAGUCCAUCUGAGGUAGUUUAAUGCUAUUGAUUUCUGCUCAGGCUUUAACCCAUGGCUGACUGUUUAUCAUGUACCCAAGUGAUCAUUUUUAACUGUAAUAUAAACACCAUGUUUUCAUCGUUGAUUGAUUGUAGUGCUUUGAUAUCUGAUAUCCUUUAUUUGAUUCCUCACCACCAUCAGUAUCUUUAGUACUCACUGACCAGAACAAGACCAAAAGAUACCACACAAUCUUUCUUUGUGCUACUUUUUACUCAUCUUUUGUUUCACCCACUACCACAAGUGAUCUCCGUUUCAAGGCUUAGUAGCUCAGCCCAUAGCUUCUCACUCGAUAAAGGUUACUUUGGUACACCUACACUGACUUCAUGUAUUCAGUAAAGAAGCCAUACUUGUGGCCUUUAGCUAAAGCUCCUUAAAUGAACCCAGGUCAGAGUAAGACUGGAGUAAAAGUGAACUGGGGUCAGCAGGGGUUCAGCACUAGAGAUCUACAACAUGGGUGUGUUAAAAGUGUUAGACUAAUAAUAUAUUGUUACUUAUCACAGGGACUGUGGAAAGGCUAGUUGAAUGCUUAAUAACUCACUAACAGUUCCAGGAAGCUAGUAAGCUACACAAUACCUUAUUGUGAAUAUGUGACUUUAUGGUGGUUUAGACCAGUAUCAAAGGGCUGUAAUCAAAGGCAUGGGAGGGUCAGUGUUGUGACAAUUCCUAAUGCUGCUAGAGGCUGAUUCACAUUUUACUGUUAAACACCAAUACAUGUAUGACAACUCUUAGAGAAGGCUCUCUCAGGAAUAGUUAAUUUGACUCUAUAUAUCAAACCACCUUACGCUUAGACCCCUGUAGUAGGUUCUGCAAGUAAUUUAAAAUCAGUUUAAUUUCUAUUAUAUAUGUAUGUAUGUACGGGCCCCCUCAAAAAUACUAUAUAGACAUAGAACAAUUUCAGAAAUAAAAUUAUGGUGUGUUAAUCUAUUCCUUUUUUGCUAAAAUCAUCCAGGUAGCCUGCCAUAUCACACCCCUCAGUACAAACAUUGAAUGGUUCAGUCCUAUCUAGCUAGGCUCACGAGUCAGGAUUGGAACAGUGGUCUGCGUAUAGAACGCCCAUCCGGCACUGUCCGUACAGAAUGUCAAACUCAAAACCAAAAUCAGGGUGCCAGAAUGGAAAGGCGGAAAAGGGCUGAAAGGAAGAACUAAGGGCGACAAUUUGUUACCCAGCUUUUCUACCAGAAAGUCAAGUGUCCAUGUCCAAAAUCUCUGGCGGCACCACUGUGUGUAGAAUAUACAGUUUGUGGAUUGAAAUAUGUGUGACUAAUGGUGCAUUUUAUAGGCUGUUGUAUGUCUGUGCUGUCAGCUUAGUAUUGAUCCACAAAGAAAUCUGAUAUUGUGCCUAAUAAUUGACACUUCCUCUCAAAAAUAAUGUUGCAAAUAUUCCAUAACAAACAGUGAAACUGUGUUUUUUUUAUUGACUUUUGAGAAAUAACUGGCAUAAAUCCAAGUCCACUAUUGAGUCCAGUACAGAAAUAUUAAAUCAGAAUACAAAUCUUUGUCACUUUAGUGAUGAAAAAGGAAACAUUUGAAUAUAAAAAUAUUUCUACACAGACAUACAAGCUACAACUGACCAGCAAUUGCAGAAAAUAAACAUAAAACAAUCAUAACAUUUAACUUAUUAAAUCAUUGUUUUAGCAUGAAGUUCUUAUCUGGGCCAUUUUGAUGAAAGCUGACUAAUCACUGGAUGACAGCUGAAAGCUUUCAGUAGCACACGGUAUGUUCAAUUCCUUUCUAAGGCACCUGGGGUAACAGCAGUUAAGGCAAACGUUAGUUACAUAAAAUG